rnacentral:rRNA from 1 species
AGCGAACGCUGGCGGCAGGCCUUACACAUGCAAGUCGAACGAAGUCUUCGGACUUAGUGGCGGACGGGUGAGUAACACGUGGGAACGUACCUUUUGGUUCGGAACAACUCAGGGAAACUUGAGCUAAUACCGGAUGAGCCCUUAGGGGGAAAGAUUUAUCGCCGAAAGAGCGGCCCGCGUUAGAUUAGCUAGUUGGUGAGGUAAAGGCUCACCAAGGCUACGAUCUAUAGCUGGUCUGAGAGGAUGAUCAGCCACACUGGGACUGAGACACGGCCCAGACGCCUACGGGAGGCAGCAGUGGGGAAUUUUGCGCAAUGGGCGAAAGCCUGACGCAGCCAUGCCGCGUGAAUGAUGAAGGCCUUAGGAUUGUAAAAUUCUUUUACCAGGGACGAUAAUGACGGUACCUGGAGAAAAAGCCCCGGCUAACUUCGUGCCAGCCGCCGCCGUAAAAC